UCUUUUGUGGUGUUAAUAGCACGAGAGAUUUUCAAUUUCUAGGAAUGGUUUGUAAAUUAUCAAAAGAU
rnacentral:tRNA from 1 species